AAGUCGUAACAAGGUUUCCGUAGGUGAACCUGCGGAAGGAUCAUUAACACGUAUCCACGUACCCACCCAUGCGCACCCGUUGCCUCUCCCUCGGCAGCGACACGAAUCGAACGGAAGGAUCGGAUAGAGUUGGUCUGGCCUCGUGCCAGUCGCUGAUCCCUCCCCUACUGCUGUUCUACUCUCGAGUAUGCACAGCGACGAUUGAAGUCGAACCGAGGCUUACAUUCUGGUGGUGCUGACCCAACACUCUGGUCACACUGCUGGAUAUCCUAAUUUCUAAACACCCCUUUCACCGCAUCUAAUUAGUUGACUAUUUUAAUGUUGGCAUGCAGGCGUCAGUCUGCAUCCACACGUUUAUUAUAUAAACGAAAAUACAACUCUAAGCUAUGGACCUCUAGGUUCUC
rnacentral:misc_RNA from 1 species